rnacentral:misc_RNA from 1 species
GAUGAAGAACGCAGCAAAAUGCGAUAAGUAAUGUGAAUUGCAGAAUUCAGUGAAUCAUCGAAUCUUUGAACGCACAUUGCGCCCCCUGGUAUUCCGGGGGGCAUGCCUGUCCGAGCGUCAUUGCUGCCCUCAAGCACGGCUUGUGUGUUGGGCCUCCGUCCUCCUCCCGGGGGACGGGCCCGAAAGGCAGCGGCGGCACCGCGUCCGGUCCUCGAGCGUAUGGGGCUUCGUCACCCGCUCUUGUAGGCCCGGCCGGCGCUUGCCGACACAUCAAUCUUUUUUCCAGGUUGACCUCGGAUCAGGUAGGGAUACCCGCUGAACUUAAGCAUAUCAAUAAGCGGAGGA